UAGCCAGACAUUACCUGUAUCUGAUCAACGCUCUGGAACGGAAAUAGCUUAAUUGUUUAUAAUAUUUCUGGGGAGGGAAGUGUACAGAAAACAAUCCCGCAGAAAGGCUGGAUCUCUUUCUCGUUCACGUUACCAAGCCAAAGCCCAGUUCUGAAUGUUGUCGCUGAUGGAUACAAGGAAAUAGCCUACUGGCGGGGCUGCCCUGGAGGCGGAGAAGCGCCACACGCUCAACGUAAACGCAGCGUUUGAGUGAAAGAAAGAUCUGACCCCAGAUCACUUGGCAAGAGGAGCGAUAAGAUGAAGAUAUCCAUGUCGCUGACAAAGAUCCGGUUUUUAAUUGUGCCCGGACAUUGUUUCUGGAUGAUUAAAUGAAGAGAUGAAGACAUUAUACCCGAAUCAUUUAUUUUUUCCGUUAUGAACAGCGCUCAGUCGGAAUAUGACCACGCACCGACAAGAAGAACAGCAAAGACCACUUUUUUCUAAUAUACGUGUUUAUGUUACGUUAGACUAUUUAAUAGCUACUAUAAAAAUACAAGAAAGACAGGAAAAUUACGGCUGUUCUUCAAGAUGACAGCCUUUUGGAUUCUCCAGAAAUAUCAGAGAGGCAUGUUUUGAAACUAAAUUUAUAAAUAUAUUAUGUACAGUAAUACAAAUGGAAGGACAACAUCCAAUGUCUGAGCGCAAAAACAUGGAUAACUGCCUGAGACGUUUGAAGCUGGAGCUGCUCUCUAUGAAGGAGGUGGGCGAUGGGCUCCAUGCUCAGAUGAACUCCAUGAUGGGGGCUCUUCAGGAACUCAAACUCCUGCAGGUGCAGACGGCCCUGGAGCAGCUGGAGAUCUCUGGGAAGGGCAGCAAGGCCGCCCCGCCUGCUGCCCCAUGCCCUGUGCCCCUUUCCCGCCCCCCGUCCCACGAGCUGGCCCCGUCCGCAUCCAGGCGGGUCCAUGGGCGGAGCCUGGACCCCUCCCCCACCUCCAGCCCAGAGAGCGGCAGCUUCCCCCUUCCACAGCGGCCUUUGCGGGACGGCGCCCCCUGGUGGGAGGCCGGGUCGGAGGUGCGAGUCCCCUUGCGAGCGACCGAGCCGCUGGACCUGACCGCCGUCCUGCAGACCCUCUCCCGCGAGGGUCCGUCUCUGGACAGCGACUGCUCCCGGGACAGCGCGGACGACGGCAGCGACUGGACCUCGUCCCUGAUGAGCCGCAGCCGGAACAGGCAGCCCCUGGUGCUGGGCGACAACAUCUUCGCCGACCUCGUGGGGAACUGGCUGGACCUGCCCGAGCUGGAGGAGAGGCCCGCAGAGGCAGGGGGAAGGGCAAAGGUCAUGGACCAGCCCGCCCACCCGCUCAGGCUCAGCCGCUCCCAGGAGAUCUGCAGGAAGUUCUCCCUCACUGCCAACAUCUUCCGGAAGCUUCUGCGCAGCGUGCGGCCGGACAAGGACAAGCUGCUGAUGGAGAAGCCCGGCUGGAUGCCCCUGGAGGACCCAGAGGCCCAACUCUGCAAGAGGCCCAAAAAAGCCGCCAAGCCAAAAGGGAGCUUUUACCCCCCCUUCCGAACUGGGGCAGGAGGGCAGGGUCGGCGUGGGAAGGGGAGCCUCUGUCCAGAGCCUGCGGAGGACGAGGCUCAGAUCUCAGGGGUGUACAUCGGCAGGGUGGGCUCGGAGUUUGUGGAGAACGCAGGCCCUGUGUUUAAUUUCAACUCAGCCGUCUGGGUCUGAGGGCUUUCCUCACUGCCACAGGAGAGGCACUGCAUUCACACGACGUCUUCCUCAGAAGCCGUGGCCAGAGAACUUUCUAGAACUUUCUUCCGCUGUGUGACCGGUGUGAAAUCGUAGUCGGCCGUGGUGUGGCUUACAAUCCUGCAAGGUGUGGCCUUGUUUUCAACAAGUUUACAAGGAGUAUUCGUAGGAUAUGCUACCUGAACCCUGGCUAUGGAUGGUGUUCUGUUCAGACCCCAUCCACCACUCCUUUGCGGUACCUCACACACCGCUAGUGUUACUCCCAUUAAGAACGGACCCUAAGGAACCUCACCAGAAUCACAUUCCUAAAUGCACUGAUAAUUAUUCACACUGGAUGUAAGUCCCAGUUUCCUGUUUGGAACAGCUGUCAUACCAGCGGGGGGAAAGUUCAGCUGAAAGCUGACGUGAGGUUUCUGAGUAACGAGCUUCCAACAUUGCACUGUGAGAAGCCAUGCCAGCGACCGCAGCCUGACACAUUUGGCCAUCGCUCAGUUCCGUUACAUUGCACGUCUCCCUUUUUAAUUGUUUUCACCAACAGCAGCUGUCUAAUGUCAGUCAUAAAACCCUAUUCUCUGUUCUGUGGUGUGAGGAUGCUGUGCUGUUCCUCCACAGAGUGUUUGAUACCCCCCUUCAUAUGGAUGGGCAUCGGGGGAGAGUCACUGUUAACAAAUGAAGCUCUGUCUGUUUUGGAGUAAUUCCAGAGAGAUUAGAGGUCAUUAUUGAAAGUUUGGCCAUAUGGAGACACUGCUCCAGUCCGGAGACUGAUGCAACAGAUUGGGUCGAUGGAUCAGAGGGACUGAGGCUGAUUCACACUUUUCACACUUACAAUCAAACUGCAAACAUAAGAAAUAACAAUGCUCUUUUACAUUGUCCUUGUGCAGAGGGCUAUGAGAGGGCACAGUUCUCUCUGACAGGGAAGUAAAGACACUCUUCAGAAGCGUUUUCAUUCAAUUUAAAAUAUCCAGCAGAAAUAUUGAACUUCAUAGAAGCAACACCUGAAGCUAGGAUGGAUAUCUUUAUUCUUUGUGGGCCAGAAUCGGCUUUGCCAGUGACGCCUACAUAGCCGUACGUCUCAAAUCAAGGGUUUACUGUAUCCCAGCAGCUAAUUAUUCAAUUAGGAAAUUAAGGUCUGAUAGUCUAAAAACCCAGCGCACUCUGGGCCUUGAGGAGUGAAAUGGCAGAAGCGUUCUGUGCCAUUAUGAAAGGACUGGAGAGGUCUCUGCCUUGGCUGGUAUUCAAUACAAUACAGGUGAUUUUCCACCCAUACAAAGAAAACUACACUUUUCAGUAGCCACUGCACAUUAACAGUGGCCAUAGACUCAGGUAUUUCAAAUAUCAAGUCAUCUGAGGUGCUGAACAUAACAAUGUAAUAUGCAACACCAUGCCCAUAUUAAUUACAUACAAGAGUAAUGAAGCAAUAAUGGAUGCUCCUUGCCAAAGCCCAUUAAUGUACAGUAGACUGAGGCUUGGUCAUUUAGCACUACAUACUAUACAGUACUUUCACAGGGCUUUCAAAAAUAUUUAUUUCUGUUUUGUCCUUUCAUUCAUUCAUUUAGAUGAGGUCAUAUGUCACUGCCCAGACCUGGGUCAUAAUUUGUAAGUAAACACAUGGUGCAGCUCGCUAAACUGGUCGUGUGAAAUUGGAUUACAUCGCUGAUACUAAGAGACAUAAAUUGUGGGGGUUAUUUCGUGUCUAGCAGUCUCCUUAGAUGUGUGUGAAUCCAGUGAAAUCUGGACAAAUAACCAAAAAGGCAUCAUUAAUUUUGCUGAGCAAAGUUACCCACCAGCCUUUAGCUCAUGUGCUUUACUCUGCGUACAGAUCCACCGGCCUCUUAGAGGCCAGAGUGAAGCAUUUCCAUUAUCCAGGUUAUAAAUUGGUGUUCUUUUUUAAAAAAUGUGUCAUAUUUUCUGCCUGUUUCUUAAUAUUGUUUUUCAACACAACAUUUAGAAACCAGUGGUUCAGGAAACCUGUAGGGACUUUGAGAGUUAAUUGUGCAGUUCCUGAUCUUCUGUAAAUUAAAUAAAUUAAACAUGUUUCACGCAAA